AGCUUUGCGCAGUGGCAGUAUCGUAGCCAAUGAGGUUUAUCCGAGGCGCGAUUAUUGCUAAUUAAAAUCCUCCAGUGAUCAAGGAUUACCAAUGACUGAUUUAGUCCUAUGUCA
rnacentral:snRNA from 1 species